AGUGAACGCUGGCGGUAGGCCUAACACAUGCAAGUCGAACGGCAGCACAGUAAGAGCUCGCUCUUACGGGUGGCGAGUGGCGGACGGGUGAGGAAUACAUCGGAAUCUACUUUUUCGUGGGGGAUAACGUAGGGAAACUUACGCUAAUACCGCAUACGACCUACGGGUGAAAGCAGGGGAUCUUCGGACCUUGCGCGAUUGUAUGAGCCGAUGUCGGAUUAGCUAGUUGGCGGGGUAAAGGCCCACCAAGGCGACGAUCCGUAGCUGGUCUGAGAGGAUGAUCAGCCACACUGGAACUGAGACACGGUCCAGACUCCUACGGGAGGCAGCAGUGGGGAAUAUUGGACAAUGGGCGCAAGCCUGAUCCAGCCAUACCGCGUGGGUGAAGAAGGCCUUCGGGUUGUAAAGCCCUUUUGUUGGGAAAGAAAAGCAGCAAGUUAAUACCCCGCUGUUCUGACGGUACCAAAAGAAUAAGCACCGGCUAACUUCGUG
rnacentral:rRNA from 1 species